GUUGCCCUUCAUCUUGGAAUGGUAUAAUGUGCAAUGGUGGUAAUGUUGCAGCAGUUGUCCUUGAUAACAUGGGUUUAUCUGCUGAUGCAGAUUUGAGUGUGUUUGCUAACCUCACAAUGCUUGUGAAACUCUCUAUGGCUAACAAUUCGAUUACUGGACAAAUGCCAAAGAAAAUUGGUGAUUUUAAGAGUCUUGAAUAUCUG
rnacentral:misc_RNA from 1 species